rnacentral:misc_RNA from 1 species
CGCAGCCGCGGUAAUUCCAGCUCCAAUAGCGUAUAUUAAAGUUGUUGCAGUUAAAAAGCUCGUAGUUGAAUUUCGGGAUUGACGUGAUGGUCGUGCCUUACGGGGUAUGAGCUGUUGCAGUCAAUUUCUCACCUUCUGGAGAAAUAUGAUGUCCUUAAUUGGGUGUCAUAUGGAACCAGAACUUUUACCUUGAAAAAAUUAGAGUGUUUAAAGCAGGCUUAUUGCUCGAAUACAUUAGCAUGGAAUAAUAAAAUAGGACGGCAUGGUUCUAUUUUGUUGGUUUCUAGGAUCACCGUAAUGAUUAAUAGGGAUAGUUGGGGGCAUUAGUAUUCAAUUGUCAGAGGUGAAAUUCUUGGAUUUAUUGAAGACUAACUACUGCGAAAGCAUUUGCCAAGGAUGUUUUCAUUAAUCAAGAACGAAAGUUAGGGGAUCGAAGACGAUCAGAUACCGUCGUAGUCUUAACCAUAAACUAUGCCGACUAGGAAUCAGACGAUGUUAAUUUUUUAAUGACUCGUUUGGC